GACGAACGCUGGCGGCAUGCCUAAUACAUGCAAGUCGAGCGAACAGAUGGAGUGCUUGCACUUCUGACGUUAGCGGCGAACGGGUGAGUAACACGUAAGGAAUCUACCUAUAAGCGGGGGAUAACAUUCGGAAACGGGUGCUAAUACCGCAUAAUAUCUUCUUCCGCAUGGAAGAAGAUUGAAAGACGGCUCUGCUGUCACUUAUAGAUGACCUUGCGGGGCAUUAGUUAGUUGGUGGGGUAACGGCCUACCAAGACGAUGAUGCAUAGCCGACCUGCGAGGGGGAUCGGCCACAUUGGGACUGAGACACGGCCCAAACUCCUACGGGAGGCAGCAGUAGGGAAUCUGCCGCAAUGGGCGAAAGCCUGACGGAGCAAUGCCGCGUGAGUGAAGAAGGCCUUCGGGUCGUAAAACUCUGUUAUAAGAGAAGAACAAAUUGUAGAGUAACUGCUACAGUCUUGACGGUAUCUUAUCAGAAAGCCACGGCUAACUACGUGCCAGCCGCCGCCGUAA
rnacentral:rRNA from 1 species